UACGUAGGGUGCGAGCGUUAAUCGGAAUUACUGGGCGUAAAGCGUGCGCAGGCGGCUUUGCAAGACAGAUGUGAAAUCCCCGGGCUCAACCUGGGAACUGCAUUUGUGACUGCAAGGCUAGAGUACGGCAGAGGGGGAUGGAAUUCCGCGUGUAGCAGUGAAAUGCGUCGAUAUGCGGAGGAACACCAAUGGCGAAGGCAAUCCCCUGGGCCUGUACUGACGCUCAUGCACGAAAGCGUGGGGAGCAAACAGG
rnacentral:rRNA from 1 species